GAACUGAUGACGCCAGUUGUCAGGGAGUCACUGUUGGGAUACCACCCUUGUAGUAUUGGAUUUCUAACCAGCAGCCGUGAACCGGCUGGGGGACAAUGUCAGGUGGGGAGUUUGACUGGGGCGGUCGCCUCCGAAAGGGUAUCGGAGGCGCUCAAAGGUUCCCUCAGAAUGGUUGGAAACCAUUCGAAGAGUGCAAAGGCAGAAGGGAGCUUGACUGCGACACCGACGGGUGGAGCAGGUACGAAAGUAGGACUUAGUGAUCCGGUGGUAUAAAGUGGGAUUGCCAUCGCUCAACGGAUAAAAGCUACCCUGGGGAUAACAGGCUUAUCACUCCCAAGAGUUCACAUCGACGGAGUGGUUUGGCACCUCGAUGUCGGCUCAUCGCAUCCUGGGGCUGAAGUAGGUCCCAAGGGUUGGGCUGUUCGCCCAUUAAAGCGGUACGCGAGCUGGGUUCAGAACGUCGUGAGACAGUUCGGUCCCUAUCCGGCGUGGGCGUAGGAUAUUUGAGAGGAGCUGCCCUUAGUACGAGAGGACCGGGGUGGACUGGCCGCUGGUGGAUCUGUUGUAUUACCAAAUGCAUAGCAGAGUAGCCAAGCCGGGACGGGAUAAACGCUGAAGGCAUCUAAGCGUGAAGCCCCCCUCAAGAUGAGAUAUCCCAUAACGUCAAGUUAGUAAGACCCCUUGAAGACGACGAGGUAGAUAGGGCAGAGGUGGAAGUG
rnacentral:rRNA from 1 species